GCACGUGCCUGUGGUCCCAGCUACUCAGGAGGCUGAGGCAGGAGGAUUGCUUGAGCCUGAGAGAUUGAGGCUGCAGUGAGCUGUGUUUGCGCCACCGCACUGGUGACACAGCAAGACCCUGUCUCAACCAAAAUCAAAUUUUAAACCCAAAUUUAUAUAUGCCAACUCAGGCUUUUACUUUAUUAACAACCUGUUAUAAAUAAACACUUAAGAACAUUUAAAGAGCAGUGUUCUGCUUAUUCUUUGGCACAUAAUAGUCAUGCAACCUUGAUGAACAAAUGGAUGAAUUAAUAAACACCAUUGUCUUUAAUCAAGCUGGGCAUGGUGGGUGCCCCAUGAGUCUUGGAAGCCCAGGUACUGUGGUAGGGUUUCUCCUACACACUGACAGAGACACCUUUGAGUGUGGAGGCUUUUCUAGCAAUGGUUCUGUGAUUAAGUUGUAUCUCCAGCCAGGGGUGGGCCAACUCUCCUAUCUUUCCAAGAAUCAUCUCACCUUUCUCUGUUGUUUGGAUUUCUUCUAACUUGAUCCAAGGAAAAAGCUCCUUCUCUGGUCCCUCCAGGGUGCAGAUGGGCUUGUGCUGCCUGUGGGUGGAUAUUGUGUUUAAUAGUUUUGCCCUUUCCAUUUCUACUACCACCUUCUCCUACUCCACUCCUCUUCCCCUUCAGGUUCCUGAACAGAGCCUCAGACCUGGAUAAGACAAUAGCCUUCCACCUUCACCACACUGUUCGAGUCUGCUGAUACAUCAGUGCAGUAUGCUGUGUCAUCCUUUUGCUUAGAAACUUGCAAUGUGUUCCCACUGCCUUAGUCUGACAUUCAAGGUUCUUCACAACUAGCCUUUUUUUUUUUUUUUUUUUUUUUUUUUUUUAAGCUGGAGUCUCGCUCUGUCGCCCAGGCUGGAGUGCAGUGGCGCGAUCUCGGCUCACUGCAAGCUCCGCCUCCUGGGUUCACGCCAUUCUCCUGCCUCAGCCUCCCGAGUAGCUGGGACUACAGGUACCCGCCACCACGCCUGGCUAAUUUUUUGUAAUUUUAGUAGAGACGGGGUUUCACCGUGUUAGCCAGGAUGGGUCUCGAUAUCCUGACCUCGUGAUCCGCCCGCCUCGGCCUCCCAAAGUGCUGGGAUUACAGGCGUGAGCCACUGCACCCGGCCUACAACUAGCCCUUAAUUCCCUCUCCAGCCACCUCUCUCUAGUCUCUGGCCAAAUCCCUUACUUUAGCCAAAUCAGUCCAUUCAUUUUUCCCAAACAUCUGGCCCUCUGCCUUCACCUCCUUUCUCACUUGUUUAAAAAUCCCACUCCAAGAUCUAGCUCAAGUUUCACCUCCUCCACAAAGCUGCCUGUGCCCUCUGCAACUACAAGGACUUUUAUAGUUUUUCCCCACGUUGGCUCCUUUAGCUCUGUUAGCACAACUCAUUUAACACCUCCCACUCAUUCCCUUGUAUUGCUAUAUAUCUUGUUUAUUCGUGUAAUAUUUAAUAUUAAAAAUUAUUUUUAUAACCUGAGAAGUAACAUCUGAGCAGGAAAAAAAUUAUAACCAAAGUAAUUUCUAUUGUAAAAGAUCCAAACAAUACAAAAAUAUACAGAGCAACAUGUGGGACAUUGCCCUUACUCUUCUCUCUCCCAUGCCCAAACGUAACCAUCCUCAGCUAUUUGAUGUGCAUCCUUCUAGUUCCUUUUUUAAAUGUAUGUGCUGACACAUGUUUGUGGAGGGGUUAAAAUAUAAAUGGGCUCAUAUCACAUCUGUUAUUCUGCUACUUGCUUUUUUACUUAGGGUAUAUAUACAUUUGUCUUAGAGAUUUUCUAUAUUAGUGUAAUUAGAUCUCCUUUUAAUGGCUUCUCAGUAUUUCAUAGUAUAAUUUCUUCAAAGUAAAACAUACUGUCUAGAAUCUAUUAUUUGGAGGCUAUCGUGUAGCUAGUACUUAGCUCCAGACAUGAUUGCAACCUUGACCUUGCCAUCAGUUAGCUGGCUCUUUGGGGGAGAUAGGAAGGGAGGAAUGGGGCAUACACAAAUAACUGCAACAAAAGGAAAAAUAUAAUAAUGUCCACAAGUGUAUGCCUGGAGAUCCUAGCUAAGAGAAUCAGGACUUCACAGAGGAAAUGAUAUUUGAGCUUAGCCUGGAGGGAGCUUGACAGGUAAAAGAAGUGUAUGAGUUCAGGCACAGAGAUGGAAACAGAAGAUGUAGGUUUGUCUGAUGCCAGACCACAGUCCAUGAGCAGGAAGGGAAUUUGGCUCAAUUCACAAACAUUUACUGAGCAUUGAUGUGUCAGACACUAUACUAGCAAUGAAGAUUUAGAAAUGAGAAACAUGAGGUUCCUGUCUCUAAGAGGGAUUCAGUUUAAUGGAAUAAAAGCCAAGUUUGGAAAAGCAGAUUAGGGCUGGAUGACAAGCUUUCAGUUGUCAUGUCAAGGAGUUGGAAUUUUAUUCACGUGGGCAAUGUGAAGCCAUGGUAGGCUUUUUAGUGGGCAGAUGAUGGGACUGAAACUGUAGAUAGCAGCAGUGUACACAGUGGUCCAAAGUAGGGAGAGGCUAGGGAUCAGGGGCUUAUUAUUUUUUGAGACAAGGUCUCUGUCACCUAGGCUGGAGUGCAGUGGCGUGAUCAUGGCUUACUGCAGCCUUGACCUCCUGGACGCAAGUGAUCCUCCCACCUUAGCCUCCUGAGUAGCUAAGACCACAGGUGCACACCACCAUACCUAGCUAAUCGUUAAAUUAUUUGUAGAGAUAGGGUCUUGCCAUGUUGCCCAGGCUGGUCUUGAACUCCUGGCCUCAAGCAAUCC
rnacentral:lncRNA from 1 species